rnacentral:rRNA from 1 species
AGCUCCAAUAGCGUAUAUUAAAGUUGUUGCAGUUAAAAAGCUCGUAGUUGGAUUUCUGGUGUCUUUUUGCGUUUCCUUCUUUGCCAGCGAAAUGCUGGUGUUGGUCGCAAUGGAUGCCUUCUUUCUCCACAAAUUUGUUGCUGAAUCAUUAGUUUGGCUCGGUAAUAAAUGGGGAUCAUUUACUGUGAAAAAAUUAGAGUGUUCAAAGCAAGUAUUAUUUCUUGAAUACAUUAGCAUGGAAUAAUAAGAUAGGACUUGGGUAAUAUUUUGUUGGUUUGCAUAUCCAGGUAAUGAUUAAUAGGAACAUAUUGGGGAUAUCUGUAUUUUUUAGUCAGAGGUGAAAUUCUUGGAUUUAAGAAAGACAAACUACAGCGAAAGCAUUUAUCAAGGAUGUUUUCAU